GUCUUCUUGUUUUAUUUAGGAAGUCUGACCUGCCCAGUGAUUUAUUUUUAACGGCCGCGGUAUAUUGACCGUGCAAAGGUAGCAUAAUCAUUAGUCUUUUAAUAGGGGGCUGGAAUGAAAGGUUUUACGAGGCAUGGACUGUCUCACUUUAAUAAAUUAAAAUUUAACUUUUAAGUUAAAAGGCUUAAAUAGAUUUGGCGGACGAGAAGACCCUAUAGAGCUUCACAUUUAUUUGUUUUAGUAUGUUUUAGUGUAUAAUUAUAGACUAUGAUAUUAAGUGUUUUGUUGGGGUGACAAGAAAUAUAUGCUUAACUUUUAUUAUUUUCUAUCAUUAAUUUAUGUUUAUUUGAUCCAUUAUUAUUGAUUAUUAGAUCAAGUUACCUUAGGGAUAACAGCGUAAUCUUUCUUCAGAGUUCAAAUUUACAGAAAGGCUUGCGACCUCGAUGUUGGAUUAAGAUUAUUUUUGGGUGCAGUAGCUCAAUUAAUAGGUCUGUUCGACCUUUAAAUUCUUACAUGAUCUGAGUUCAGACCGG
rnacentral:rRNA from 1 species